rnacentral:piRNA from 1 species
UGCAAAAUGCACGUGACAGCGCCACCUCC